CCCAGGUCAGGCGGGGCU
rnacentral:rRNA from 4 species